rnacentral:rRNA from 1 species
AGACGUCUACAUUAGAUACCCCGGUAGUCCCAGCCGUAAACUAUGCGCGUUAGGUGUAUCGGUGACCACGAGUUACCGAGGUGCCGAAGGGAAACCGUGAAACGUGCCGCCUGGGAAGUACGGUUGCAAGGCUGAAACUUAAAGGAAUUGGCGGGGAGCACCACAACGGGUGGAGCCUGCGGUUUAAUUGGACUCAACGCCGGGAAGCUCACCGGAUAAGACAGCGGAAUGAUUGCCGGGCUGAAGACUCUGCAUGACUAGCUG